AACGUAGGAGGCAAGCGUUAUCCGGAUUUACUGGGCGUAAAGCGCAUGCAGGUGGUCUCGCAAGUUGGAUGUGAAAGCUCCUGGCUUAACUGGGAGAGGUCGUUCAAAACUGCGGGACUAGAGAGUGGUAGAGGGAGGUGGAAUUCCGGGUGUAGUGGUGAAAUGCGUAGAUAUCCGGAGGAACACCAGUGGCGAAAGCGGCCUCCUGGACCACUUCUGACACUCAGAUGCGAAAGCUAAGGUAGCAAACGGGAUUAGAGACCCCGGUAGUCUUAGCUGUAAACUAUGUGAACUUGGCGUCGGUGGGUUUAAAUCCAUCGGUGCCGAAGCAAACGCGAUAAGUUCACCGCCUGGGGACUACGGCCGCAAGGUUAAA
rnacentral:rRNA from 1 species